GAUGAACGCUAGCGGCAGGCCUAAUACAUGCAAGCCAAGGGCUGUUUGGUGUAGCAAUACAUCAAACAACCGGCGGACGGGUGCGUAACGCGUAUGCAACCUACCCUAUACAGGAGGAUAGCCCUCGGAAACGAGGAUUAAUACUCCAUAAGAUUGCUUAGAGGCAUCUUUAAGCAAUUAAAGCCGCAAGGCGGUAUAGGAUGGGCGUGCGUCCGAUUAGCUAGUUGGUGAGGUAACGGCUCACCAAGGCGAUGAUCGGUAGGGGUUCUGAGAGGAAGAUCCCCCAGACGGGAACUGAGACACGUGCCCGACACCUACGGGAGGCAGCAGUAAGGAAUAGUGGACAAUGGGUGAAAGCCUGAUCCAGCCAGGCCGCGUGCAGGAAGAAGGCCCUAUGGGUUGUAAACUGCUUUUGGGAGGGAGAAAUAAGGGCGAGGCGUCGCUGGAUGAUAGUACUGCGCGAAUAAGCAUCGGCUAACUUCGUG
rnacentral:rRNA from 1 species